rnacentral:misc_RNA from 1 species
GAUGAAGAACGUAGCGAAAUGCGAUAAGUAAUGUGAAUUGCAGAAUUCAGUGAAUCAUCGAAUCUUUGAACGCACAUUGCGCCCGCCAGUAUUCUGGCGGGCAUGCCUGUUCGAGCGUCAUUUCAACCAUCAAGCCCCAGGCUUGUGUUGGGGACCUGCGGCUGCCGCAGGCCCUGAAAACCAGUGGCGGGCUCGCUGUCACACCGGGCGUAGUAGAUUUUAUCUCGCUCAGGGCGUGCUGCGGGUUCCGGCCGUUAAAAAGCCUUUUUUACCCAAGGUUGACCUCAGAUCAGGUAGGAAGACCCGCUGAACUUAAGCAUAUCAAUAAGCGGAGGA